UACGGAGGGUGCAAGCGUUAUUCGGAAUCAUUGGGUGUAAAGCGCGUGUAGGCGGCUUGGUAAGUCAGAUGUGAAAUCUCCGGGCUUAACCCGGAAAGUGCAUUUGAAACUGCUUGGCUUGAGUUCGGGAGAGGAAGGUGGAAGUCCCAGUGUAGAGGUGAAAUUCGUAGAUAUUGGGAGGAACACCGGUGGCGAAGGCGACCUUCUGGACCGUGACUGACGCUGAGACGCGAAAGCGUGGGGAGCAAACAGG
rnacentral:rRNA from 1 species